rnacentral:rRNA from 1 species
GACGAACCGUGCAAACGUUGUUCGGAAUCACUGGGCGUAAAGGGCGCGUAGGCGGCCGAUCAAGUCGGGGGUGAAAGCCUGUGGCUCAACCACAGAAUUGCCUUCGAUACUGUUUGGCUUGAGACCGGAAGAGGUUAGUGGAACUGCGAGUGUAGAGGUGAAAUUCGUAGAUAUUCGCAAGAACACCAGUGGCGAAGGCGGCUAACUGGUCCGGUUCUGACGCUGAGGCGCGAAAGCGUGGGGAGCAAACAGG